AGUCACUGACAUUAGACUACCCGGUAGUCCCAGCCGUAAACUAUGCGCGUUAGGUGUACUGGUGACCACGAGUCGACCGGGGUGCCGAAGGGAAACCGUGAAACGUGCCGCCUGGGAAGUACGGUCGCAAGGCUAGAAACUUAAAGGAAUUGGCGGGGGAGCACCACAACGGGUGGAGCCUGCGGUUUAAUUGGACUCAACGCCGGAAAUCUCACCGGAUAGGACAGACAUAUGAUAGUCGGGCUGAAGACUCUACUUGAUGAUCUG
rnacentral:rRNA from 1 species